rnacentral:rRNA from 1 species
GUGCCAGCCGCCGCGGUAAUACGAAAGGUGCAAGCGUUAAUCGGAAUUACUGGGCGUAAAGGGCGCGUAGGCGGCGCGUUCAGUCGGCUGUGAAAGCCCCGGGCUCAACCCGGGAAUUGCAUCCGAUACUGGCGUGCUAGAGUGCAGUAGAGGGAGGUAGAAUUCCAGGUGUAGCGGUGAAAUGCGUAGAGAUCUGGAGGAAUACCAGUGGCGAAGGCGGCCUCCUGGACUGACACUGACGCUGAGGCGCGAAAGCGUGGGUAGCAAACAGGAUUAGAAACCCGAGUAGUCC